ACAUAACGCGUAAACUGCCAUUUGCUGCAAAUGUUGCCAACUAAUAAUUAGCCGAUUUUCAUGACAAAUUCAUUUUCAGUUUUUCACAUUAAUCUGCUGCAUUUGAUGAACUACCCAUUUUGUAUUUAAAUACUGAAUCAAAUCAUUACAACUUACUUGGCAUCUCUUGCCAUGAAAAGGUGGCUUCCUAAGUGGAUUCAACGGAGGUACUGAUGACGACGACGAUGAAGAUGAAGAUAACUGAUCUCUACCGUAAAAACUACUUGAAGGGGCCGUAGCAUAAUUGUUGAAUCCAUAACUCGAGCCACCCGGGAGAAAAUCUGGAUACUGAAACUGAUUUGACGAAGCUGCUGCUGCUUGUUGCUGAGAUAAUAGUGAAGGGCGCGGCGGAGGAGGAGGAGCAUUGAUAUUGAGUCGGGGGGCAUUAAGUUGCCCGCGAUUAUUAGUUAAGUAACCUAAUUCGGAUCGGCCUUGAACUCUUUCGGGGAAGUUCAGUUUAGCUUUGCUUCCUUUAAACCUAAGGGCUGCUUCGUCAUAAGCAAGUGCUGCGGCUUCAGCAGUAUCGAAGGUGCCCAGCCAUACUCUCGCAGCCUUGUUAGGGUCUCUGAUCUCUGCUGCCCAUUUUCCCCAUGGUCUUUGUCUCACUCCCCUAUAGUGUCUCCUCCUUACAUUUCCUACAAAAUUCAUAUUUAAACACUGAUUAAUCAUACAAAUCAUGUCAUGUCUCGAACAAAUUAAUGAGACCUUUGCGGUGUUAAAAUAUCUAAUGAUAAUAAAUAAAAAAUAAUUGAAUA